AGCCAAAAUCGAUGGAUUACAUUG
rnacentral:siRNA from 1 species